rnacentral:tRNA from 1 species
AUGUAUAUGGUGUAAGGAACACACUAGCUUUUCAUGCUAGAAAUAUAUUUUAUAUUAUACAUC